rnacentral:rRNA from 1 species
UACAGAGGGGGCAAGCGUUAUUCGGAAUUAUUGGGCGUAAAGGGCGCGUAGGCGGCUUUGCAAGUGGCGGGUGAAAUCCCUCGGCUUAACCGAGGAACUGCCUGUCAAACUGCAUGGCUUGAGACCAGGAGAGGUGAGUGGAAUUCCCAGUGUAGCGGUGAAAUGCGUAGAUAUUGGGAGGAACACCAAUGGCGAAGGCAGCUCGCUGGGACGGUACUGACGCUGAGACGCGAAAGCGUGGGGAGCAAACA